GACGAACGCUGGCGGCGUGCUUAACACAUGCAAGUCGAACGGAAAGGCCCUGCUUUUGUGGGGUGCUCGAGUGGCGAACGGGUGAGUAACACGUGAGUAACCUGCCCUUGACUUUGGGAUAACUUCAGGAAACUGGGGCUACUACCGGAUAGGAGCUCCUGCUGCAUGGUGGGGGUUGGAAAGUUUCGGCGGUUGGGGAUGGACUCGCGGCUUAUCAGCUUGUUGGUGGGGUAGUGGCUUACCAAGGCUUUGACGGGUAGCCGGCCUGAGAGGGUGAACGGCCACAUUGGGACUGAGAUACGGCCCAGACUCCUACGGGAGGCAGCAGUGGGGAAUAUUGCACAAUGGGCGGAAGCCUGAUGCAGCAACGCCGCGUGCGGGAUGACGGCCUUCGGGUUGUAAACCGCUUUCGCCUGUGACGAAGCGUGAGUGACGGUAAUGGGUAAAGAAGCACCGGCUAACUACGUG
rnacentral:rRNA from 1 species